rnacentral:misc_RNA from 1 species
AAGUCGUAACAAGGUAACCGUAGGUGAACCUGCGGUUGGAUCAUUAGUAAAUUUCGAGCGAAGGUUAGGGUCUUAACUGUAUUUUUGAGCCGUAGCCUUUGUUUUUAACCUUAUGUGAACUGUUUAUUGUCUCUGGGUAGGGCUUAUAGGAUAAUUGCUUCUGGAGGUUUUCUUUUAAUUAAGAAAAUCUUUACCUACUAUUAUAUUUUCUAAACUUGAAUUUUUAUUACUUAGUCUUGAAUUAAAUUUUGAUAUUUUUAUAUUAAUUUUAAACAACUUUUGACAACGGAUCUCUAGGCUCUC